rnacentral:snoRNA from 1 species
UGCACCUCAGAAGCCCUGAAGAGUCUCGUAUCACGGUCACAACAUCAGAAGCGGAGCAGGGUCAGUAUCAUCACGA